GUUAGGAAUAUUGGACAAUGGGCGAAAGCCUGAUCCAGCCAUGCCGCGUGAACGAUGAAGGCCUUCGGGUUGUAAAGUUCUUUAGCCGAUGAUUAUAAUGACUGUAGUCGGAAAAUAAGCCCCGGCUAACUUCGUGCCAGCAGCCGCGGUAAUACGAAGGGGGCGAGCGUUAUUCGGAAUCACUGGGCGUAAAGCGUGCGUAGGCGGUUGUGUAAGUUAGGAGUGAAAGCCCAGGGCUCAACCUUGGAAUUGCUCUUAAAACUGCAAGGCUCGAAUCUCGGAGAGGAUAGCGGAAUUUCCAGUGUAGCAGUGAAAUGCGUAGAUAUUGGAAGGAACACCAGUGGCGUAAGCGGCUAUCUGGACGAGUAUUGACGCUGAGGCACGAAAGCGUGGGGAUCAAACAGGGUUAGAAACCCGAGUAGUCC
rnacentral:rRNA from 1 species